GACGAACGCUGGCGGCGUGCUUAACACAUGCAAGUCGAACGGAAAGGCCCUGCUUUUGUGGGGUGCUCGAGUGGCGAACGGGUGAGUAACACGUGAGUAACCUGCCCUUGACUUUGGGAUAACUUCAGGAAACUGGGGCUAAUACCGGAUAGGAGCUCCUGCUGCAUGGUGGGGGUUGGAAAGUUUCGGCGGUUGGGGAUGGACUCGCGGCUUAUCAGCUUGUUGGUGGGGUAGUGGCUUACCAAGGCUUUGACGGGUAGCCGGCCUGAGGGGGUGACCGGAAAGAGGGGGAGGGAGAGGCGCCAAGGACCCAGCGGGGGGGAGGAGGGGGGAAUGAUGCAAAAGGGGGGGGAGGAGGGAGGCAGAACGGCCGGGGGGGGGAGGGGGGAUUGGGGUUGAAAACCGGGUUGCGCGUGGGAAGGAGGGGGGGGAGGGGAAGGGGGAAAAGAAAAACCGAAAAACUACGAC
rnacentral:rRNA from 1 species